GCUGAAUUUCAUAAUCGGAUUGCAAAUCCGUGUACGCCGGUUCGAUUCCGACUUCGGCCUCCA
rnacentral:tRNA from 1 species